rnacentral:rRNA from 1 species
GACGAACGCUGGCGGCGCGCUUAACACAUGCAAGUCGAACGGAAAGGCCUGCUUUCCCUUGUGGAUUGCGGGUACUCGAGUGGCGAACGGGUGAGUAACACGUGAGUGAUCUGCCCCCAACUUGGGUAUAAGCCUGGGAAACUGGGUCUAAUUCCCGAUAGGACUGCAGGGUGGUGCCUGUGGUGGAAAACGAUUUUCUAGUGGUUGGGGAUGAGCUCGCGGCCUAUCAGCUUGUUGGUGGGGUAAUGGCCUACCAAGGCGGCGACGGGUAGCCGGCCUGGGAGAGUGGACGGCCACAUUGGGACUGAGAUACGGCCCAGACUCCUACGGGAGGCAGCAUUGGGGAAGAUGGCGCAGUGGGCGGAAGCCUGAUGCAGCGACGCCGCGUGGGGGAUGACGGCCUUCGGAUUGUAAACUCCUUUCGACCGCGAGGAAGCCACCUGGUUGGAAGGGUGGUGACGGUAGUGGUAGAAGAAGCACCGGCUAACUACGUG